rnacentral:rRNA from 1 species
CGCGUAGGCGGCUUUGUAAGUCUGGAGUGAAAGUCCUCUUUUCAAGGGAGGAAUUGCUUUGGAAACUAUAGAGCUUGAGUGCAGGAGAGGUUAUCGGAAUUCCCGGUGUAGCGGUGAAAUGCGUAGAUAUCGGGAGGAACAUCGGUGGCGAAGGCGGGUAACUGGACUGCAACUGAUGCUGAGGCGCGAAAGUGUGGGGAGCAAACAG